UACAGAGGGUGCAAGCGUUGUUCGGAAUUAUUGGGCGUAAAGCGCGUGUAGGCGGCUUUGCAAGUCGGGUGUGAAAGCCCUCGGCUCAACCGAGGAAGUGCGCCCGAAACUGCAGAGCUUGAGUACCGGAGAGGAUGGCGGAAUUCCCCAAGUAGAGGUGAAAUUCGUAGAUAUGGGAGGAACACCGGUGGCGAAAGCGGCUUACUGGGUCGCUUCUGACGCUGAGGAACGAAAGCUAGGGGAGCGAACGGG
rnacentral:rRNA from 1 species